GCAGCAUUGAAUAAUCUCAAUUUGUAAAUGUGAGCGGUAUGAGCCAUUUGACGCACUCACUUUGCAAUUGGAGAUUGCUCGAGACUGC
rnacentral:pre_miRNA from 1 species